CAGAUGUUGUCAAAUGGAGUGAUACACAAUCUACAAGGUGAUACAUCAGACAGGUGUUGUCCAGUAGAGUCUGAUACACAAUCUGCAGGGUGAUACAUCAGAC